ncrna:unclassified sequences S4-Fusobacteriales ribosomal protein leader
CUGUAAAGACAUGCAGAGCUGUAGAGCCUGUUCUUACAAUAUUAAUGUAAGGCAUGUCGAAGAAA